rnacentral:ncRNA from 1 species
UUUUGAUAGAGGUCGCAUUCUUAAUCAGUAGCUUGUUGGAUGUUUCGGAGACAGUGGAAGAUAAGCAAAAGGGAAGAGUGCCGAAAGGAUAGGAUACCGGGAUUUUAUCCUUGGGCAUAUGGUGAAUAACCAUAUGACUGUCAUCAUUUCUGAUGGAGUGCUAUCUGA